rnacentral:rRNA from 1 species
GUCUAUUACGAAGAUGUUUAUAGUCUAGCCUGCUCACUGACAAAUUACGUUAAAUAGCCGCGGUAUCUUGACCGUGCAAAGGUAGCAUAAUCAUUAGUUUUUUAAUUGAAAACUUGUAUGAAUGGUUGGACAAGGAAGAAUCUGUCUCUUUUGCUAAAAUUGAAUUUAACUUCUAAGUGAAAAGGCUUAGAUAAUUUAGAGGGACGACAAGACCCUAUAAAGCUUAAUAAACUUAAAGAUUCUAUAUAUUUUUACAUAAAGAUAAUUUCUCGAACGUUUAUUUGGUUGGGGCGACAAAAGUAUAAUAUAAGUAACUGCUAAUAACAUUUUACAAAUAUUUUUGAUUUAGAUAAUAAUUGAUCCCUUUUAAGGAUUUAAAGAUCAAGUUACUUUAGGGAUAACAGCGUAAUUUUUUCUGAGAGUUCUUAUCAAAGAAAAAGUUUGCGACCUCGAUGUUGAAUUAAAAUGUCUUUAUAGUGCAGCAGCUAUAAAAGAAGGUCUGUUCGACCUUUAAUAUUUU